CUGUUGUGGUAGGUUUUUCUGUGGCUGUUGUGGUAGGUUUUUCUGUGGCUAUUGUUGUGGUAGGUUUUCCUGUGGCUGUUGUGGUAGGUUUUCCUGUGGCUGUUGUGGUAGGUUUUUCUGUGGCUGUUGUGGUAGGUUUUCCUGUGGCUGUUGUGGUAGGUUUUCCUGUGGCUGUUGUGGUAGGUUUUUCUGUGGCUGUUGUGGUAGGUUUUUCUGUGACAGUUGUUGUGGUAAGUUUUCCUGUGACUAUUGUGGUAGGUUUUUCUGUGACGGGUGUUGCUGUGGUAGGUUUUUCUGUGGUUGUUGUUGUAGUAGGUUUUUCUGUGACUGUUGUCGUGGUAUGUUUUUCUGUGACUAUUGUGGUAGGUUUUUCUGUGGCUGUUGUUACGGUUGGUUCUCCUGUGGAUGUUGUGGUAGGUUUUUCUGUGGCUGUUGUUGUCGUAGUUACUCCUGUGGCUGUUGUGGUAGGUUUUUCUGUGACUGUUGUUGUGGCAGGUAUUGGAGUGGCUGUUGUUAUGGUAGGUUUUUCUGUGAUGGUUGUUGUGGUAGGCUUUUCUUUGGCUUUUGUUGUGAUAGGGUUUUCUGUGACUGUUGUUGUGGUAGGUUCUCCUGUGGCUGUUGUGAUAGGGUUUUCUGUGACUGUUGUUGUUGUGGUAGGUUUUUCUGUGGCUAUUGUUGUGGUAGGUUUUUCUGUGGCUGUUGUUGUGGUAGGUUUUGCUGUGACUGUUGUUAUUGUGGUAGGUUUUUCUGUGGCUGUUGUUGUGGUAGGUUUUUCUGUGACUGUUGUUGUGGAAUGUU